AGAGCUCUUCUGGGACUAAAUUGCCAUUUAUAAGUGACAAGAAUGAGAUGCAGUGUUCAGUCACCUUAGAAAACCAAUCAUCCCACACAGAGGAAGCUUUGGAUAUAGGGCCAUGGAACUGGUCUUAAGUGUAAUGAAAAGUCUCUCCUGCCUUAAAUAUCAGUGUAGUGAUAUCUGAUAGUAAGAAAAUAUAAAUCAGCAUAACCAUGGGAUGCAGCAAGAGGAAUACUGAGCCAGGAAAGAAAGCAUUUUAAUUUAUUAAAAAAAUGAAUUCCUCAUUCAGUCUCUAGUGGAUACAGAAAAAACUGCAGAAAAGUCAGAGGAUAUCAUGGCAGUGUAAUAGGAUGAUAUGUUAAACUUGUGGAAAAGCCUCCAAUUCUGUUUUAACACAUGAGAAGGAGGGAUGACUGAUUUCAUUUCUGGCAUUAAGAAAAUAUCGCAUGUUGGGAAACUGUUUCUGCCUUGAUGAUUUUAUACACAGAAGAGAUGAAAAAAUGAGGCACAUGCUUAGAUAUAUUGGGAAUGAGAUGGGACUGUGGCAUCAUCACAAGGGUACACAAAUACUGAGAGUGACAGUUAGAGGAACGGUUCCCCAUUGGUUGUGAGCUCAGGUGAGACUAGUAGGCCUGUGUUUUAGCAAACCUUGGGCAGUUGGAAUGAAGAUUCCAUGACACGCCCAGCUUAUAAUUCUAUUAUUGCAACAGCAGCCCGUUACCUGGGAAACUGGCCCUGUCUCCCACACUCUUGUGAGAGUCUGAGCUAGAGGCAGCACCUUCAGCUCUGAGCUCAAGCGUUUCCUACAUUGUUUUGGCAGUUAAGGACCCUAAAAUUCUGUGAGGAGGGAUCGUUUUUCUAAACAGUAAGUUAGGAAUUUGAGUUAUUGAAAUUCCUUAGUCCUGAUUAAACCUAUUUGAUUUCCAGUUUUUAACCCAUCCUGUGUUUGGGUUUCUUCUCCCUGGUCCCUGGCUGUGCCUGGGUGCCCCAAAUGUCACCAUGGUGGCACCUGGCAGGGCGUGUUCCAGGCAAAUCACAGAGGUGAACUUUCCUGAUAUCGUCGAGAAUUCCUACACCCAGCAGGAAGAGACCAAACCGAGUUUCAGAGACAGCAAAAAUAGACUUCUUCUGAGCCAGGUGGCCUACCUCCAGAACUACCGGCUGAAGACAGACAAAGAUCGAAAAGAUGACGAUGAAGAACAGAAAUACAGAGACCGCAAAAAUAAACUUUUUUUGAGUCAAGUGGCCUACUACCUGGGCUGCCGGCAUAAGACGGAAGUCCCUGGCUUUCAGUGUUGUGCCCAAAAAGUCAACAUGGUGGCAUCUGGCAGGCCUCCUUUUAGAAUAAACCGAGAGGUGAACGUUCCAGAAGGCAUUGAGAAAUCCGGCUCACAACAGGAAGAAAACAAACCGAAUGUCGGAGCCAGCAAAAACAGACUUCUUCUGAGCCAGGUGGCCUACUUCCAGAACUACCGGAUGAAGAAAGACGGUAGGUUCUGUAGGUUGACCACCACGAAAGUGAUCAAUGAUGUCCUGUGUUGUUUUGAGAAACUAACAGUUCUCUUCAUCAAAAUUAGUUUCAUUCUUCCCAUACCUGUAGA
rnacentral:lncRNA from 13 species